CACGUAGGGUGCGAGCGUUGUCCGGAAUUAUUGGGCGUAAAGAGCUCGUAGGCGGUGUGUCGCGUCGGACCCGUGAAAACCUGCAGCUUAACUGUGGGCGUGCGGUCGAUACGGGCAUCACUGGAGUUCGGCAGGGAGACUGGAAUUCCUGGUGUAGCGGUGAAAUGCGCAGAUAUCAGGAGGAACACCGGUGGCGAAGGCGGGUCUUUGGGCCGAGUACUGACGCUGAGGAGCGAAAGCGUGGGGAGCGAACAGG
rnacentral:rRNA from 1 species